CCAAACUUGUUGGCAUAUUGAGUGCAGCACUUUCACAGCAUCAUCUUUCAACAAUUUCCCUUCUCUUCCCUCUUGGAACACUAAUAAAUAUUGUUUGCCUUGAAAGUCACUCACUUCUCUAUACAUACAUACAACUUAAUUCAUAUGGUUUAUUUUAUCCAUAAAUUUACAUAUUUUUAAAGCCUCAAAUAAAAUUUUAACACAUUACAACUCUCCUCCUAGCUAUUAUUUACCUCAUUUUUUAAUUUUCUGAAGCAUGUUAAAACAGUUGAAAAACAUCAACAAAGGUAUACAUGAUUAAAUUUUAUAUUGUUAGAUAUUAGCACUGACUUAUUUACAUAUGAAUUUUUUUGCUAUAAAUUAUUAGCUCUAGGUCAAGAUCUUCCCCAUAGUCUGGGGAAUCUAAACCUCUUAGCUCAAUUUUAAAAGCACAAUGUUUUGAACUGACAUUGCUAAUAAUGACAGUAAUGACAACAACUGACAACAAUAUUGAAGAACUGACAACCUCUUAUUUUUAAAACUCAGAAAAUGUCCUAAAAUUUUCCCUCCAUAGCUAUUAUAUCUACAUUCAUCAUUUAGGAUUAUUAGACCAGUCAUACUACAUGUCAGCUCUGCAUUAACCUGGGUGUACAGGAUAAACUAAACCCUAGACAAUCCAAUCUUAGCUAUCCAGGCUAAUUUCUUCCAUGUGAACUUCUCUGUUACAAUGAAGGCAAGGAGUGGGACGGAGGUGUAUUUCAUCACCUUUCAAAGUAUCUGAAACACAAAGUGAUGACUCCUGAAAUACCUAAAGCAAUGAUUCUCCAAGUUCAUCUGGAGAUGCCUCUUGGAAAGGCAGGUCAUAGGGAUCUCCAGUAAUUAUUACUUUGCUCCUAUUUCUAUAAAUGCUUAUUGAUAAAGACAAGCUGCAAAAUGAGAUUUGAGCAUGAGGGGACCUACAUAAGUUAUGAACUAAAUUAGCCACCUUAAAAAAAAAGUGAAAAGAUGGUUCAAUCCCAUAAUCAACUUUAACUUUCCUAUUUGGAAUAAAUUAUUUAUUUAUUUAUUUGAAAUAAAUAUUUAUCCCUAUUUGAAAUAAAUUCUACAAAUGGUAAGGUCAUGACAGACAAAUGGUGAGAAAUGAAAAUCUGGUCUAGAUAAAACAAUAGCCAUAGUUUGGCAGAUUAUGUAACACUACCCAACAGAGUUUGCGGUAAAUCAAUAGUCUCAAAGUGAUACUCUCUCCAAAUGCCACCAGAUCAAAUGGCACUCAGAAAAGUUUGCCUGUGAAAUUUUAGCCUCUCUGCAACAAUGUCGAUUUCCACAUUUGCCAAACUGUCAAUUUAGAACUGGCAAUGUCUCCCAAAGUUUACAGAAAAGGUUUUACUAGUGAAU
rnacentral:lncRNA from 1 species